rnacentral:rRNA from 1 species
GAUAAACGCUGGCGGCGUGCAUAACACAUGCAAGUCGAACGAUGAAGCUUAGAUGAUUUCUUCGGAAUGAACUUAAGUGGAUUAGUGGCGAACGGGUGAGUAACACGUGAGUAACCUGCCUUACACAAGGGGAUAGCCUCUGGAAACGGAGAAUAAUACCCUAUAAAGUCUAAUCAGCCCAUGCUGGAAAGACCAAAGAUUUAUCGGUGUAAGAUGGACUUGCGUCUGAUUAGCUAGUUGGUGAGAUAAAAGCUCACCAAGGCGACGAUCAGUAGCCGGCUUGAGAGAGUGUACGGCCACAUUGGGACUGAGACACGGCCCAAGCUCCUACGGGAGGCAGCAGUGGGGAAUUUUGCACAAUGGGGGAAACCCUGAUGCAGCGACGCCGCGUGAUUUAGAAGGCCUUCGGGUUGUAAAAAUCUUUUUUACGGGAUGAAAAUGACAGUACCGUAAGAAUAAGGUCCGGCUAAAUACGUGCCAGCAGCCGCGGUAAUACGUAUGGACCGAGCGUUGUCCGGAAUCAUUGGGCGUAAAGGGUACGUAGGCGGCCUAGUAAGUUAGAAGUUAAAGAAUAUAGCUCAACUAUAUAAAGCUUUUAAAACUGCUAGGCUUGAGAGAUGGAAGGGAAAGUGGAAUUCCUAGUGUAGCGGUGAAAUGCGCAGAUAUUAGGAAGAAUACCGGUGGCGAAGGCGACUUUCUGGUCAUCAUCUGACGCUGAGGUACGAAAGCGUGGGUAGCAAACAGG